rnacentral:misc_RNA from 1 species
GAUGAAGAACGGUAGCGAAAUGCGAUAAGUAAUGUGAAUUGCAGAAUUCAGUGAAUCAUCGAAUCUUUGAACGCACAUUGCGCCCGUCAGUAUUCUGGCGGGCAUGCCUGUUCGAGCGUCAUUACGCCCCUCAAGUCCCCUGUGGACUUGGUGUUGGGGAUCGGCGAGGCUGGUUUUCCAGCACAGCCGUCCCUUAAAUUAAUUGGCGGUCUCGCCGUGGCCCUCCUCUGCGCAGUAGUAAAACCCUCGCAACAGGAGCCCGGCGCGGUCCACUGCCGUAAAACCCCCCAACUUUUUAUAGUUGACCUCGAAUCAGGUAGGACUACCCGCUGAACUUAAGCAUAUCAAUAAGCGGAGGA